rnacentral:rRNA from 1 species
UACCGGCGCUCCGAGUGGCGACCACGUUUACUGGGCCUAAAGCGUCCGUAGCCGGCUUGGCAAGUCCCCUGGGAAAUCUGGCGGCUUAACCGUCAGGCGUCCAGAGGAUACUGCCAGGCUUGGGACCGGGAGAGGUGAGAGGUACCUCAGGGGUAGGGGUGAAAUCUUGUGAUCCCUGAGGGACCACCAGUGGCGAAGGCGUCUCACUAGAACGGGUCCGACGGUCAGGGACGAAAGCUGGGGGCACGAACCGG